AGAGUUUGAUCAUGGCUCAGAGCGAACGCUGGCGGCAGGCCUAACACAUGCAAGUCGAACGGAUCUUUCGGGAUUAGUGGCGGACGGGUGAGUAACACGUGGGAACGUGCCCUUUGGUUCGGAACAACUCAGGGAAACUUGAGCUAAUACCGGAUGUGCCCUUCGGGGGAAAGAUUUAUCGCCAUUGGAGCGGCCCGCGUCUGAUUAGCUAGUUGGUGAGGUAAAGGCUCACCAAGGCUACGAUCAGUAGCUGGUCUGAGAGGAUGAUCAGCCACAUUGGGACUGAGACACGGCCCAAACUCCUACGGGAGGCAGCAGUGGGGAAUCUUGCGCAAUGGGCGAAAGCCUGACGCAGCCAUGCCGCGUGAAUGAUGAAGGUCUUAGGAUUGUAAAAUUCUUUCAGCAGGGACGAUAAUGACGGUACCUGCAGAAGAAGCCCCGGCUAACUUCGUGCCAGCCGCCGCGGUAAUAC
rnacentral:rRNA from 1 species